rnacentral:rRNA from 1 species
UACGAAGGACCCGAGCGUUAUCCGGAUUUAUUGGGUUUAAAGGGUGCGUAGGUGGAACGGUAAGUCAGUGGUGAAAGCCUGUUGCUUAACAACAGAACUGCCAUCGAUACUGCCGAUCUUGAGUACAUAUGAUGUGGGCGGAAUGUGCCAUGUAGCGGUGAAAUGCUUAGAUAUGGCACAGAACACCGAUUGCGAAGGCAGCUCACAAAGCUGUAACUGACACUGAGGCACGAAAGCGUGGGGAUCAAACAGG